GACCGCGUAGCUCAGUUGGUAGAGCAUUGGGCUAGUAUUCCAAAGGUCGUAGAUUCGACACCCACCGUCGUCA
rnacentral:tRNA from 1 species